CCUACGGACAUGGAGAAUCAGGAGUCCUAGAAUCAGGAGUCCAGGGAAAAGAUCCGUCCUCCGAGGGAAGGUGGAGACCAGGAAGAUGCUGCUAAGCCUCAGACAGGGGCCCCGUCUGCGUCCCCACCGCUGGCGUGUGCCGUGCGGCGUCACGUAUCUCACCAGGACGCAGGACUCAGGGACAACGCAGGAUGUGUCCCGACACCUGUGUCUCCUGCGAUGGGCCUGUCUCCUCCUCCUCCUCGAGGUUGGGCGCGAGUCACUGCGGGAUGACCUGGUCGCUGAAAUUGCACGUCGCGGCCAACGUUCCAGGACUCGGGCACAGCCCCAAGGCUGCCGUGCGGCCAGUGUCCAGUAGCAGGGAGCCACGGCGCCCUUCAGCGCACCGCCCCAUCGCGGAGCCCGAGCGCGUGUCCAGUCCUCUCUCAGGGUCUCCAUCGCUGCGACGAGGGGAGGCCUGGGCAGGCCUUGGGCAGGUGGGAUGUGCUGGGAAAGACGUUCUGACGUGAAGCUGGAAGAGAAUGGCACAUUUUUUCCGUGGAGCUGCCACUCUCUGUGUUCCUGGAGACGACUCGGGGCUGUGGCCCGCGUGCUG